rnacentral:sRNA from 1 species
GAUUAGGUGCUGCAUAUUUAAUAUAUCGUAGAGGUGAAGGUCAGAGCUUUAAAAAGAGCAAAUCUUCAGGUGUCGAGUCCCCUAAAAAAAAUCAAUCAGAAACAAAAAAGACAAAUAAAAAUUUUUGUUGGAUCUCAAACUGGAAAAGGAAAGAAAUUAGCAGACAUUUUGAAGUCAACAAUAGAAGCAGAAGGUUACAGCACAAGUGUUUUAGAGUUAUCUCCUUCUUAUGAUCAUGAAAGUCUUUUUUCUCUAGAGGCUGAAGAAGGGAAUAUCAUUAUUUUCUUGAUAUCAACCUACACCGAGGGCAAGCCCCCAGACUCUGCUAAAGACUUUUAUAUGUGGUUAGAAGAUGCUGCUGAGGAUUUUCGAGUAACCAAAGCAACACUUGAUGGUCUUCAUUAUGCAGUUGUAGGCCUUGGCAAUUCAUCAUAUCCAGAACAUUUUAAUAGUGUAAGUCAGAUGUAACAGAUUUG